rnacentral:rRNA from 1 species
CCUGGUUGAUCUUGCCAGUAGUCAAUAUGCUUGUCUCACAGAUUAAGCCAUGCAAGUGAAAGUACAUAUGUAAAAUAAUAUAUUGAAACUGCGAACGGCUCAUUAAAACAGUUAUAAUCUACUUGAUGUUUUUAAUAUAAGGAUAACUACGGAAAAUCUGUAGCUAAUACUUGUGAAAAUACCUUUUGAUAUAUACAUAUGUAUGUAUCAUUAAGGUAUGUAUUUGUUAGAUAUAAGAAUAAAAUAAAUAUAAUUGAAUUAUAACAAAGAAGAAACACAUAAAAAUAUGUGUAUUAUCAAUCGAGUAUCUGACCUAUCAGCUUUUGAUGUUAGGGUAUUGACCUAACAUGGCUAUGACGGGUAACGGGGAAUUAGAGUUCGAUUCCGGAGAGGGAGCCUGAGAAAUAGCUACCACAUCUAAGGAAGGCAGCAGGCGCGCGUAAAUUACCCAAAUUCUAAAAAAAAGAGAGGUAGUGACAAGAAAUAACAAUACAAUAUCGAAAAAUGAUUUUGUAAUUGGAAUGAUAGGAAUUUACAAGGUUCCUAGAGAAACAAUUGGAGGGCAAGUCUGGUGCCAGCAGCCGCGGUAAUUCCAGCUCCAAUAGCAUAUAUUAAAAUUGUUGCAGUUAAAACGUUCGUAGUUGAAUAUUAAAGAAUCCGAUGUUUCAUUUAAACUGGUUUGGGAAAACCAAAUAUAUUAUAUAUUUUGCUUUGUUCAAAAUAAGGUUUUCUAAUAAAUUAUGUUUUUAUCAGAUAUGACAGAAUCUUUUUUAAAAUCUCUUCAAUAUGCUUUUAUUGCUUUUGAGAGGUUUUGUUACUUUGAGUAAAAUUAAGUGUUCAUAACAGACGGGGUAGUCAUGAUUGAGUUCAUUGUGUUUGAAUACUACAGCAUGGAAUAACAAAUAUGAAUAAGCUAAUUAUUUUUUUUUUUCAUUAUUUUUUUUGAUAUUCUUAUUAGCUUAGUUACGAUUAAUAGGAGUAGCUUUGGGGGCAUUCGUAUUCAGAUGUCAGAGGUGAAAUUCUAAGAUUUUCUGGAGACGGACUACUGCGAAAGCAUUUGCCUAAUCUAUUUCCAUUAAUCAAGAACGAAAGUAAGGGAGUGAAGACGAUCAGAUACCGUCGUAAUCUUAACCAUAAACUAUACCGACUAGGUGUUGGAUGAAUAUAAAAAAAAUAAAUAUGUAGCAUUUCUUAGGGAAUGUUGAUUUUAUAUUAGAAUGCUUCCUUCAGUACCUUAUGAGAAAUCAAAGUCUUUGGGUUCUGGGGCGAGUAUUCGCGCAAGCGAGAAAGUUAAAAGAAUUGACGGAAGGCACCACCAGGCGUGGAGCUUGCGGCUUAAUUUGACUCAACACGGGAAAAACUCACUAGUUUAAGACAAGAGUAGGAUUGACAGAUUAAUAGCUCUUUCUUGAUUUCUUGGAUGGUGAUGCAAUGGCCGUUUUAGUUCGUGAAUUGAUUUGUCUGGUUAAUUCCGAUAACGAACGAGAUCUUAACCUGCUUAAUUAGCGGUAAGUACACUAUAUUUUUUAUUUGAAAUUGAAUAUAGGUAAUUAUACAUGUUUAUUGAGUGUUCAAAUUAGGAUAUUUUUUUAUUAAAAUAUUCUUUUCCCUGUUCUACUAUAAUAAUUUGUUUUUUUUUACUUCUAUUUCUCUCUUCUUUUAAGAAUGUACUUGUUUGAAUUAAAUUAAAGCUUCUUAGAGGAACAGUGUGUAUCUAACACAAGGAAGUUUAAGGCAACAACAGGUCUGUGAUGUCCUUAGAUAAACUAGGCUGCACGCGUGCUACAAUGAUAUAUAUAACAAGUUGUUAAAAAUGUACUUAUAAAUAGUGUGUACAGUUUUUCCUGUACUGAAAAGUAUAGGUAAUCUUUAUCAGUAUAUAUCGUAAUUGGGAUAGAUUAUUGCAAUUAUUAAUCUUGAACGAGGAAUGCCUAGUAAGCAUGAUUCAUUAGAUUGUGCUGACUACGUCCCCUGCCCUUUGUACACACCGCCCGUCGCUCCUACGAUUGAAAGAUAUGAUGGAAUUGUUUGGAUAUGAAUUAAAUAAUGAAAUUUUAUAUUUUCUGAUUUUUUCUAGAAGAACUGUAAAUCCUAUCUUUUAAAGGAAGGAGAAGUCGUAACAAGGUUUCCGUAGGUGAACCUGCG